CGGAGGUACACUGGAGCAAUCUUGAGUGUCAAAUUUGGGCUUUGAGUGCUGAACGAGUUGGGGCAUCAGAGGUUGCCAACAGUUUGUGUUAGGAUGAUUGAGACAGCAUUUUAGAACAAGGAGAGCAGUGGAAGAUCACUAGGAAGAGACAGGAUAAAGGAAUGAGUAAGAUAAACAUUGUGAGAAAAGGCCAAGAGGAACAGAAGAGGCCUGAUUCCCACCGCAAGGCUCGGGAGCAAAACCAACCAAAAUGCAACCAGCCCAAUGGUUUUGUGACACCUACAGAUAUUACAAGGAAACUUAAUGAAAUCUUCAAAGUGAAAAGGCAUCUGAUUGGUUUUGUUCCUACGUCCAUUCGAGGAAAUUUAGAAAACAAAGGAAAGCAUCAGAAAGGACAACUUGCAUAGGAACAGACGUGUAUAGCACACUAGAAGCCAGAAAGCCAGAUGUAUUCGCUCUCCUACACAGCUGGCUAGCCAAAUCUUAUUUUUCCUCAAAGCUUUAAAUACUACCCAAAGCAAAAGUCUUCAUCCUGCCCACGUUCUCAAAAACUUUCAAUGAUUAAAAGCUGCAAAAAUUCUCCUAAAUCCUGGACUGUUCAUCCUAUUCAAUUAGAACCAAGUAAGUGUUUUAAAGUAAGCUUCAGAAGCGCUCAAACAGGGCUGAAACGUACUGGAAGAUAAAAGGAAAUCACUUAAAAAAUAGGGAAAAAAACCCCCACAACCCUGGACUUUACAAAGUGGUAUAGAAAGCCUAAAUUACCUUGAUGACUGUGAAAUAAACUGUCUUCUCUUAA